AGCGAACGCUGGCGGCAGGCCUAACACAUGCAAGUCGAACGAACGCUUCGGAGUCAGUGGCGGACGGGCGGGUAACACGACGGAACGUGCCCUGAGGCUCGGAAUAACUCAGUGAAACUUGUGCUAAUACCGAAUGUGCCCUUCGGGGGAAAGAUUUAUCGCCUUUAGAGCGGCCCGCGUCUGAUUAGCUAGUUGGUGAGGUAAAGGCUCACCAAGGCGACGAUCAGUAGCUGGUCUGAGGGGAUGAUCAGCCACAUUGGGACUGAGACACGGCCCAAACUCCUACGGGAGGCAGCAGUGGGCAUCGUUGCCCAAGGGCGAAAGCCUGACGCAGCCACGCCGCGUGCAUGAUGCAGGUCUUAGGAUUGGAAAAUUCUUUGCCCGGGGACGAUAAUGUCGGGCCCCGGAGAAGAAGCCCCGUCUACCUUCGUG
rnacentral:rRNA from 1 species